rnacentral:lncRNA from 1 species
GUAGAUACCCAAAAGGGUAACCUUAGUUAAUGAUGGGCUAACUAAGGUUACAUAUAUGUAACCAUGAUUACAUGCUUGUGACUCUUGAGUUAUGUAACUCUUGUGACUCUUGGUUAUGUAACUCUUUUGUUAUAUAGUGGGGGUUAUGGUUCCCACAUUAUUGCAAGACAUAAUCUCUUCUUCCUCCCAUUGGAUCAAGAGAAACUCCAUUGUUGUCUUGCAAAUUCUUGUGGAAAACCAUUCCCAUAUUUGGUCUUGUGUGAUAUCCUUGUGGAAAGCCAUACACCAACUUUGGGUAUUGUGAUAUUAUUGUUAUUGUGAAAUCCAUACUUCAAGAAGGAUCAAGAAGAUAAUCUUGAAGGAAGGACUAAGGAACUUGCUAAGGCACACUUCAAACAAUCAUCAAAGGAGG